AACAAAGGGGAUUUCCCCUCAAACCCUAAUGUUCACAAAAUCCAUCAAUUGAAGGUUCAAAUCGAGUCCGAAUUGAAAUCUGAAUAUAGAAUUGUGAUCACCUUGACUAAGGGAUCGUAAGGCAACACGAGUGAGGCGUCGGGAAGUCAAGCCGGUGCGGACGCUCGCCAAAAGGGAAAGCUCUAAGCUUUAAAGUAAGUCACUCAAAUGGAUGGUGAUCAACGCAAGGCUUCUGAACCGAACACAAUCAAGAAGUUGUUCUUCACUUUUGUCUUAGAUAUUCGCUAGUGAUAAUUUUGUAAUGAAAGGAAUACUUAUGUAUCCUUUUUGUGUUG